CUCAUGAAGUCCGGGAGCCUGCCAACAGCCACAGGCUUCCUCACAGUUCCAACCUCUCUGGACUCCUCAGGCCUGUUCGGGUUUUACUCUCCCAGCCUUGCCCGCUACACGAGAUAUCCUCAAGGGGGCCAUAGCUAUGUCCUAGUGCACUGGGGAAGUUAUUCUAUUAUCUCCCAGUUAUUGUACGGAGUCCUCCAGUGAAUCCAGCAGCACCAGGGUUUGUGGAGGUUUUACCUCCAUCCCCCCGAGAUCAACAAUGCCACUUCACCUUUUCAUUUGUUCAGAAGCGCUUCGCCUUAGUGGACAGGGCUAACGGUGGACUUCUCUCUCUGGCUCAUGUUCACUUCCGCCUCGAUACAGGUCCACCUUGACACGUUGUGGUCUCAGAGCCACAGUUAUUUCUAUGAAAUGCGCUGACCAAAGUGCAGCACAGGGGGCAGCUGUGGCUGCAUAGAAGUGGCCCACCGUCACGUGGCAGUCAGUGUGAAUCCUGCCAUGCAGAUCACCCCGACACCCGCCAGGCUGGAAGCACACGAUGUGGGGAAGACGCGGAGGGAGAAGGGAGAAGUCUCCGUCGACACGCGUGAGCGUUCCUGAGAGAGAAAGCAGAGGCGCCCACAAGCACUUGCUAGAUCUGCUCUUCUUUAAUGCGCGGAUUUUUUUGUGCGCCAUUAUUUUCCCUGUUGGGUACAGGAGGAAAAUAACUGUUCCACAGAGCACUCACAAAAGAGUGGCCGACAGCUACAGCCACAUCGGCUGCGUUUACGCAGAUUUUUCCAGAACCCAUAACUUGAAUGAAAAGAUCUUUUUUUCUUUGCUCCACUUGUGAUGAGAAUAGUUUGUUUGACUCAUACCAAACCAAAUCAAGCAUUUCUGUGGGCACAAAGAGGAAUGUGGAGCAAAGAAAGAUUUUUCUUCCUAAAAAAGAAUGUGUGCGCGGACAACAAAAUUGCUUCAAAUUUCACAGCAUCCUUCCCAUUAAACACUGAAGGCAGAUUCGGGUCAGUCCAAUCGCCUUUGUAGACAUUUGACUUUAAAAAUCACAUAUUCAACUUUUAAAAAUGGAUUUGUGUGAAAUGAUAUAUAGAAAAAAUCGCAUGGUCUAUAAGUCCUGAUGAGUUUCAGCUUAUGUUUAACCUCUGCCUCUUCAUCUUUAAGAGAUGCAAAUUGCCUCCCAGGAACAGGGGAACUGUCUUGUAUGUCCUGUCCUAGUUCCUCUAAAUCAGCCCCUAAAGAGGUUUACAUUAGGAACUGGGCGAGAUGCCGAAAUAAAUGAGUUUCUUCAAAAAAGCUGGCUGCCCCCUAUCUAGGAAAUUAAAAGUCACUGGGAAGAAUUUUUAAAAAGAGAAAUAACAGAUAAGUACAUAGUUCUUGGUUUCUGAGACCAAGCCUCCGAGUACAUUCUAGGAUCUCAAAUGACUUAUCCCAGUAACUCUGCGGCUAAUGUUAAGAGGGAGUGCAAAACUUCCUCCAAAUGACCCACGUAUCCUACUCUUUGACGUGUUCCAAGAUCUCAAGAUCUGUGCCUGGACUCAUGCAAAGAAUGCCAUGCGUUUGCCUUACUCUUGGAGAACGGAGCAUUACAAAUGUGUCUUGUGUGUGAGUGGGUUUGAAGCUGCAAUAAUUCCUUGAACGCAAUCGAGAACUGGCGAUCCUGCAGAGAGGCAGAAAACCUUCUCUGUUCCCUUGACCUUCAAACAAGGAAAACAUUACCUUGCCUGUCUUCCCUCAAGACUUCUGGGAGCACCAAAAAUUGUGGAAAAUCAGCUGGCAGACGCAUAAAGCAACUGGUGAUGCUUCCUGGACCGGCUGCCUUGCUCAGCCUUGCAGAAACGCUUGUGAAGUGUGUGUGUGUUGGGGGGGGGGGCACCAUGAUUAUUCUUGUUUUACAGCUCAGGAAAGCAACACUUGGCAGCACGACCACUUGGCCAACAUGAUGGGACAGAAUUGGUCCAUAAGAGCACCGAGAAGCAACUGAGCGUCUUGAUUCUAACCCCCAGGCUCUGCGUUCCACGUGAACUGCGAAGGCAAGCGCCCUGCAGGUGCAAGGGGGUGCAUCAUCAGACCCCUUUGACCUCACUCCUGACUGCUGAGGCCAAGGUCAGGAAAAGUUGGGAAAACCCCUGGACUUUGCCUAGAACCGUUCAGGGAAAAGCCCCAGAGGAGAACCUAGCACGAUGGAGGUGAUGAAAAAAGUCAGCCCUGGGACAAAGGCUGGUUAGGAGUGGGAAAAAGAGGUGAGGGGCCAGCAGCGGGAGCGAUCAGGACCCGGCAGGGAAGCAGGUGGCCGAAGGCGGAGAGGCUAGGAAGCUGGGAAUGGGGCCAUGGAAGAAGCUGGUGUGGGGAGACCACGAGACAGGCUUGCAGUCGGAGCUCCUCUCUCUACACGAUGCUCAGAUCGUUGGAGGUCCAGGAGUCCCAGCGGCUGUGCUUGUGCCCAGCGUGCUGGAAGCCACCCAGCCCCUUCCCGUCUAACUUGUGGCUUUCAAGCCUCCUGACCGCCCACAGGGACGCCCCUGUGCCCGGGGUGUAGGGUAGGGGCGUGGAGGGGGGGGUCUUCUCCACUGGGCAGAGUGCCCGGGACUGGAACGCUCGUCCUCACUGGCUGACCACGGCAGUGGGGGCGGAGCAGCCCGGCUCCGCCCCCUCGAGAGCCACCCCCUUGCAGGAAGGUGACAAGGCUCAGGGCUCUGGCUGGCUUGAUAAUGCUCCCUUUUCCGCCUGGGUGCCCUCUCUGUUUCCUUUCCUCACUUGCCCAUGCGUGUUUACUUGGUCUCCCAACAAACUCCCUCGUUUGAAUCCGUGUUUCAGGGUCCGUUUCUGGAGGCAGCCACCUGGACACAUGUUGCUGCACAGCUUGGGAACAGCCAUGCCUGUGGGCAGAACGAGGGCCGGGGAGCUACAGACAGGACCGGGAAGGUGAAGGCGUUCUGACGCAUGCGGCGCCACCGUAACUAACAAGUCCGUUUCAAGUCGCGGGUCAGCGCCUGCUGCCCAACAGCGGAGGGGACCCAGGGGACAUGGAUGACAGAGGCAGUGAAGACUGAACAAGGUGGGGUGGGGGUGGGGAGGACAGGCCUGCAGCCCCCUAGCAAGAAGCAUGGGCAGCACCCAGGAGAAGGGGUGGGCCGCUCGGGUCACCCAGAGACUGCAGGACGUGCCCCUGGCCACCGUGACUGAUGCCAGAUGUGCACUGGUGCAGGGAGGAAGUCCUGCUCACUGGAGUCCAGUACGGUCUUGGACAGGGUUGAACGCGCCCUCUCCUGCGGGAUCAGAGAGGACCAAGGUCUUAUCUCAGGUUCCUCACGCAACAGCGUGUUCUAGGAACUGUCACUGGUACUUUUCCACCACCCCUGGCUGCAUCGGAAAAUGACCUAGUGAGGACUUUGAUUCUCAGACUUAACAGGUAUUUUGAGAAGAAUCCCAGGUCCUGUGGAAAUGGGAAAAAUUGGAAUUAAGUCUCAAUUUCCUCCCGAGUGCCAACACCCACGUGGAAGGGCAGGCGGCAGGUCUGAAGACGAGCUAUUUUAGAAAACAAAUAGAAGACUGGGGUUUCUGGGCCAUCCAAGGUAGCUCUCUUCACAAAUAUCACAGAAAUCAGCCUCCCGUGAGCACAAAUUGCCCCGUACGGAGGAAAAACACCAUCCACUUCACCGGAGACCUGGCUGUAAGGUGCAGCGCUUGGCUGUGGGCAAGUGAGGACUCGCGUUUUCAGCUGCUUCUUGGUAAGAGCCUUAGUAAUUGGAAUCAGUUAUUCAAAACAUCGCUAAAUGUGAUUUAAAUGGCAAGGAUUUAAUAACAGAGAAAGAAGCCAUUAAAGGAGUUCAAGCAGGGGAGAAGGGAAUUCCGUUUUUUAGAGCAGAGGGAGAAAAAUAAAGCAAUUACUUGAUGUAAAGGCCAGAACCAGGACUCCUGCUGUCACGGAGAAAUCAAAUCUGUCAGCAAUUAGUGGGGUCUUAGGAGGU